rnacentral:rRNA from 1 species
UACGUAGGGUGCAAGCGUUUGUCCGGAAUUAUUGGGCGUAAAGAGCUCGUAGGCGGUUUGUCGCGUCUGGUGUGAAAAUCCAGGGCUUAACCCUGGACCUGCAUCGGGUACGGGCAGACUAGAGUGCGGUAGGGAGAUCGGAAUUCCUGGUGUAAGCGGUGAAAUGCGCAGAUAAUCAGGAGGAACACCGGUGGCGAAGGCGGAUCUCUGGGCCGUAACUGACGCUGAGGAGCGAAAGCAUGGGGA